rnacentral:rRNA from 1 species
GUCUACGGCCAUACCACCCUGAAUGCGCCUGAUCUCGUCUGAUCUUGGAAGCUAAGCGGGGUCGGGCCUGGUUAGUACUUGGAUGGGAGAAUGCACUGAGAAAGGCUCGUGUCCUCACUU